rnacentral:lncRNA from 1 species
ACAUUAUGAUUACGGAUGUAAAUAAAUACCACGAACAAGCACCGCGCUAAGCACUGCGCCACAGGCAGGCCUGCGUUGGGCGGCCGAGGCGCCGAGUGGGUUUGCGCCCCGCCGUUUUCCAAAGUGCCGUCCGGCAAGGAGCGAUGCGGAGAGACUGGGGAAGCAACGGAGCGGAGGACGGACAGUCAAACUGCCCCUCCUGGACUCUUGUGAUUUUGCAGUCAGUCAACUGUAUUCCUUGAGCGCUUACUAUGUGCAGAGCGCUGUACUAAACACUUGGGAGAGUACGAUAUAACCGACACGUUCCCUGCCCCCCAGUGAGCUGACGUCCGAGAGGGGGAGAGAGUCACGGGUUCUAAUCCCAGCUCCGCCACUUGUCAGCUGCGCGACCUUGGGCGAGUCACUUUGCUUCUCCGUGAUUCAGAUACCUCAUUCAUUCAGUCGUCUUCAUCGAGCGCCUACUAUGUGCAGAGCACUGUACUGGGCGCUCGGAAUGGCCAGAUCGGUAGCGGAUAGGGUCGGUCCCUGCCCUCUGAGGGGCUCGCGGUCUGAUCGGGGGAGACGGACAGACGAGGACAGUAGCAGUAGACAGAACCAAGGGAUCAACCUCAUCCGUAAAAUGGGGCCCCUCUGGGACAGGGACGGAGGCCGACACAAUUUGCUUGUAAUAAUAAUAAUAAUAAUAAUAAUGUUGGCAUUUGUUAAGCGCUUACUAUGUGCAGAGCACUGUUCUAAGCGCUGGGGGAGAUACGGGGCCAUCGGGUCGUCCCACGUGAGGCACAGAGAAGUGAAGUGACUCGCCCACAGUCACACAGCCGGCGGGUGGCAGAGCCGCGAGUCGAACUCACGACCUCUGACUCCGAAGCCCAGGCUCUUUCCACUGAGCCACGUUGCUUCCGGUGCUCAGCACGUAACAAAUACCAUCGUCAUCAUCACCACCGAAACCUUUUCUCCGAUCAUCGGAAAGAUCGAAGGACCCAGGAGCUGAGGGGAGAACCAGCUCCGGGCUUCAAGCGCAGGAAGCGCAACUACAGCGUGAGCCCAGCUGGCGCCCGGCGAAAUGGGCCGAAUCUGCAGCGAGAGGGCUGUGGGUUAGAUCGUCUUGCCAACGAGGGCUGCGGGGCCCUAAAACGGGAUGAGGGGGUGCUCGUUCCGAAGGACGCCCACCCGCCCAAAUUAAUCCGGCUCCAGCCCAGCGGGGACGGGGCGUUUAAAGGGGUCGGAAACGAGCCGGCGAUACCCUGGACCCUCGGACUCGGAAAGAGGCUCGAUCUCCUGAAGAUUUCACCUCCUCCACCGUUCCACCUCGGCUGGGUGGCUCGGCGUGGCGACUCCUGGGAUUGGCCAUUGAUAUCUGACAUCUGCCUAACGCGUCCGGAAAGACGCGGCAAGGUGCACUUUCCGCCCGGGGCCUCGGACGAGCCGGCUCCCGCUCAGACGGCAGGCGCCCAACGCGCCGAGGAACCCCCCCCCCCCCCCCCUCCGGAUCUCCAAAUACCGGGGGUCCCGACGAACUGCCGGAAGAGGCGCUUACGGGAGGGGGGGGGGGACACCCCCACGAGGGGAUCGAGGCACCAGCCAAGAAGGCGGAGGAGAUGGCGGAAUUCUUGUCUCUGUUCUGAGGGAUAAUCCAGUCGCCACCCGGAUUCUCCCUGUCGCCGAAGCGCACGCAGAUCCGCUCCGGGGCCCCCGGCUCGUCCUCCGCCGAGCGCUCGGCGCCGUCUCCUACCUUCCACCCUCCCCUUCGCCCCCUCCGGCCUCCACCCGGAUCGUGGGGAGCGAUGCCCCUCGAAAAAUCGUCACCAUCAUAACGACGACGGGAUGAAAUAUCGGAAGAGGCCGGAGAGCAACGGCGUGCCCCGGGUGAGAUGCCUCGGCCCCCAAGAAAGGACCGUGCAAGCCGGUGGUGGGGGGGGGGGGGAGAAAAAAAUCUCCCUCGGGGAGGCUCGGUUUUUGUUGGAUCUUUUUAUAUAUAUAUAUAUAUACGACUUGCGAAAGCCCAGAAACGAUCAGAGCACAAUUCCGCACCUUGCCAUGAGACAGGCAGAGGCAGGCACGCCGAACCCGUGAAUUCCACAGCAGAACCCGCGCUGAGAUUUCUCCCCCCACCCGCCCCUUCCCACCCUUUCUCCUCCCCCAUCCCCUCCCCCCAGAGACGAGUCGGGAGCCCCCACCUUAUUCCACGGGAAAGGGGAGGGUGGAGAAGAUGCAACCGUUUAAAGGGAAAAAAAGAAGGGGGGGGUUGAAAUCAUCCUCCGAUGGGGGUGGUCCCCGCACCCCGAUUUUCUCCCCGGAGGAAGGGCUGUCAAGUAGAAAACUUCACCUUCAGCCGCCCCCCUCCCCCCAAAAAACCAACCACAGAAAAAGCAGGCCCUAGCCCUUCCAUCCCGGUAGCCUGGAGCGGGGGGGGGGGGGGGUGUGUGUGUGUGUGUGUGUGAAAUCCUCUUUCAAUGAGAGGGAGGGAGGUCCCCGCACCCCAAUUUUCUCCCCGGAGGAAGGGCUGUCAAGUGGAAAACUUGAUCUUCACCCCAGCCCCCCCCCCCCCCCCCCCCCCCGCCAAAAGCCAACUACAAAAAAAAGCAGGCCUUAGCCCUUCCAUCCCGGGAGCCCGGAGCGGUGGGGAGGGGGGCCGCGGGAUCCUCUUUCAAUGGGGGAGGGGGAUCCCCGCACCCCAAUUUUCUCCCUGGAGGAAGGCGACCCCGGAGGAAGGGCUGUCAAGUGGAAAACUUGAUCUUCACCCCCCCCCCCCAAAAAAACCAACUACAAAAAAAAGCGGGCCCUAGCCCUUCCAUCCCGGGAGCCCGGAGCGGUGGGGAGGGGGGCCGUGAGAUCCUCUUUCAAUGCGGGGGGAGGUCCCCGCACCCCAAUUUUCUCCCCGGAGGAAGGGCUGUCAAGUGGAAAACUUGAUCUUCACCCGCCCCCCCCCCCCAAAAAAAGCCAACUACAAAAAAUAGCAGGCCCUAGCCCCUCCAUCCCGGGAGCCCGGAGAGGUGGGGGGGGGGGCGUGGAAUCCUCUUUCAAUGGGGGCGGGGAUCCUUGCACCCCAAUUUUCUCCCUGGAGGAAGGCG